CGAGAAAUUGCAUGGCGCACUCACUGUCAAGGAAUCACUGACAGGAAUCUCUUCAGCGGAAUGAGAAGCUGGGUGAGGAUCGUCGCUGUGUGUUUGUUUUUGGCCUUCAAUGGGAGCAACAGAGAGGUGACUCCUACGAGAGCUCAAAGGUGGGGGGGGGGGGGGGAGAUGAAGGGGCCUUUGCUGCUGCUGCUGCUGCUGUUGUUUGUUGGGCUGGUGGAAGCUCUCGGCACCACGAGUGGGACAACAGCUGCUGCGGAGGAGAGUUUGGUUGCUUAAAAUGGGCGCGCCGCUGCGACACACCCACCUGGCUCGUCUCCAAAUUGAGUUAAGCUUGAGGGACAGACUGACCCCACAACCUCGACUGCUAAAUGCAAACACUCAAAAGGCUGCGGAGGAAUGGAAACGAGGCACAACGUUUGGACAAGGCAUUCGAUGCCUGUGGUGCCGUGGUUUGCAAUGCCCUUCGGCUUUUCUCAAUUCCUGGGGUGCCAAACUAUUUUUCCCGAGCUUCUUUGUCAUCCGCCUCGAGCUAAAUAUGAAAGAACUGAUACUUUUACCAGCUGGGUUUGUGUUUUGUCGCUCGCAACUGGAAUGUGGAUGCUUUGAUUAGAAAUCCGUGUAUCUAGGGGGGGGGGGGGAUGAUGAUGUUUCGGCGCAGGGGAUAAAUGCAACAUCCUCGGUGCCAUGGUGAGUUUGCCUUGUGUGCUCUAAUAUGGGGUGGGUGCUUGGAUUGAAUAUGCACAAUGCCAGGGAUAUUCUAAGAAUUUUGCCGAAUGGAGCGCUGGGAAAUUGGCUGAUUCUUGUCUUCAAUUUGCGACUGGCUGCUUCUGGCGAAUGAGCAACUGGGUAAGGGGUCGCUUGUAUAUUCUUGUUCUUUCUCUGGAGCGCGGUGAAUUGCGGCUGCAAGAUGAUGCUCUCUUUAGAGCUUGAAAGUGAAAAAUCAGAGUGGUGAAGUCCCUUCUAAUUUGGACGGGACAAUGUUGAAGGAUCUGUGAGCUAAAAUGAGAAGAGACAAAAUAUAAGGUCAUUUCCUGCGGUGAUUUCAGCAACGGUAUGACUUUAUGAUGGUGACAUCCUUGGAACAUACUGCCCAUGGUGGGUUUGACCCAGUUUCAGGAUUUCGAGGUAACAUGACAGAUGAAUCAGUUUUAAGCUUCGAUUACACCGGUAACAUUCCUAAAGUGCAUGAUCUAACUACCGUACAUUGAAGAUAGAAGUGAAUCGGCAAUACAGGGGCGUCAAGGGACUUGUCCAAGAGUACUGGUAACCUUGACUUAUGUCAGCAUGGAUAGAGUACGAACUAGAAGCAGCAGGGUAAAGGGACGGUUGGUUGGGUUCAGUAGAAAUGAAAACAGUUGAAGACCGGAGACAGUUCAGCUCUCUCAAUAAAGACUUUUUGAUGAGUAUGCUAUCGAAUCGGUAAGACGUUCCCACCUUCUCCCACUGUCAACUCAAAUAUCUGAGGUUGGGGGGGGAGGAAUCUUUAAGAAUGCGCUCUGUAUGGGUCCAUUGUGUUGCAAUGAUCCUAUCCACGUGAACCACGAAGGGUGUUGAUUGAGCUUCUCGCAGCUGAUCUGAAAUCCUUGUCUUUCAAUCUGUCGGUCUCGUCGUCGAAAACAAACGUGCUUUUCCUUACAAUGAAUCAACUGUCUUCACGCUUUUCGUUUCACUAUGCAAAUUAUGGCGUGGAGCACUUUCACCUGCUGUCAGUGCAUGGUUUCGAGGGCAGAGGAGGAAAUUAUUUUAAUGUCCACUGAGAGUUUUGGUGCCGGAAUUCAAACUAUCGAUGAUCUGCAUGACAAAGAAGACGAUGAGGCCUACAGAAAGGAAGAAUAUGAUACCGCUGAAGAAGAGCUUAGCGAUGAUGUAGCCUGCCCCGUACAUGAGAACCGCCGAGACGAGGCAUAAUGCCAAAUGCUCCCCGUCGAAGCCCUGAAAGUAGGUCGUGCCCGGCCGCGACAAAGGACCUUGAUUACGUCUGUUGUGGAAGUUUUGCGUCGAAUAGUAGCUCUCGUAGGGUCUUCCGUCCAUUCUCAAUUCGUUUCUGAGCAAAUUCGUUUCCAGAUAUGUCAAGUCCAAACAAUCACGACUGAUGCAAAAUCUGAGGAGGUUGUCUCUUCCUCUUCCUUCCUCCCGAAGACAGCAGUCCGCAUGAAAUAAAUUAAUUACAACCAGCUGAACCCAAUUCCAAGCCAAUUUCGUGCUGGACGCUGUCAAAAAAGACGUCCUCAACUUGGAUCUGCAAGUCAUUCGCAUGAAACUGGGUGGGCAAUCCUUCCCAAGUCGAAACUGCGCAAUUGCAAAAUUAGACAGAAUCGCCACAAGUUAUCCAACACUCUAGACCACCAAUGCAACCUCUCCAAACUCAGAAACUCUUCUCUGUUGAACUGGAAUUGAAUUCUUCAACUAGGGACAGGCACAGCAGAGCUGCAAUUGUAUCUCCAAAAAAAAAAAAAAAAAAAAAAAAAAAAAAA